GGCUGGUCCGAAGGCAGUGAGUUACCUCAAUUGAUUGUUCAUAGUCAGUUACAGACAAAACUCCUUGUUCUACUUUUUCCGCCAUUCUCAUUACUGCAGUUGACUAGUCUAAG
rnacentral:Y_RNA from 1 species